AUGAAAGAUACCAAGGAAGAUGUGAGCCUCUCAUCUAUUAUGUAUCUUGGAAUCGGCUGUGGUGCAUUAUCUCUAGUAUUAAUUUUCAUCAUGGCGACCAUUUUCUGCUGUAGAAGGAAUUCCAGUCUAGACAGCUCUAAAAAAGAAUACAUGAAAACUGGAACGGGUAGUAAGCAGAAAAGUCUCAACACAAACUUGAAGCCUCCCGACUUAUGGAUUCACCACGAUCAAAUGGAACUAAAGGCAUUGGAAAAGUCAUCACAGGGAUCCCUAGACACUGCCUCUGGUGGUGGGCCCAGCUCUAUUAACCUCUCCAAAGAGUUUGAUGUCUCUGACCACCACCAAGAAACGCGGGUUCAUCAUCACACUUCAUCCACUAUGACAAACUCUUUAGAUAAACGCAAUUAUAUUUCUUCAUACAUAGGGAGUCCAUCUGAACAACCCUUAUUGUCUGAAGAAAAAAAAUCAACUCUACGGUCUGCUUCUAAAAGCAAGCCUAUUUCCCAUCAAAUGGACAGGCGUAGCGCUUCCAGCAAUUCAAGUUCUGAUAUUGUCGAAAUGCAACCACUAUAUCCUCAUCAACACUACAGUGUAUCUCGAGCACAUGUAACAGUUGAUGCAACAGGAGCACUUGAGAACACCUAUAUUAUUCAAAGUGCAGCACCUAGCACAUAUGAAUCAAUCAACAACCCAAAUACAUCUCAGCCUCCCAGUACGCCAAUUCAAGGACAAAACUUAUGGGUAUGUUUUGAUUACUUCUUUUACAUUAGCUAG
rnacentral:lncRNA from 1 species